UUACGGCCAUAUCACGUUGAAACACCGGUUCCCGUACGAUCAGCGAAGUUAAGCAUCGUCGAGACUGGCCAGUACCUAGAUAAGGGACCGCUUGUAAAUACCACGUAUUGUAAG